UCUAUCUCCUCCACAGGUCUAUUUUCAUAGCAUUUUGUCUUGUCUUCUGGUUUGAAUUUGUGCAUUUUGUAUUAUCACUUACAUCAUUCUAAUGAUUACAUGGCCAAGAUUAAAUGAUGCAUUUGUGCAUACCAUACAUCUCUAUGUGUGAUUCUACCAAUUACAUGCCCAAUAGAAAAAGGUCUGUGGUUGUAUGGGGGAUUAUCCAUGGUAGGAUGGCCGCGGGUAGGGUAUGGGUCGGGGUACCAUAUUUUACUCCUCAAAUCUCCAAUUGGGGACUUCUUCCCCAUACCCGCCUUCAUACCCAAAAGGGAUGGUGGAAUCCACCAUACCUGCCUCCCAUUUGGGAUCCAGUAUAUUCAAGUGAAUCCAUAUCGAAACUACUUGAACAAGAAAGAACUUAAGGAUCUAAACUAAUACUUGAACAAGAAAGACCGAUAGGAUCUAAACUAAUACAAUUCAUCCCAUUUUUUCUCUGCCAAUACUCUUUCUCUACGAAUCCAAACUUGUCACUUUUGCAGGUUUUAAUCAGCUAAGGAAUGUUUUAUUCUGUGCAUAACAUACGUCAAAGAUGGUGAAUGUUAUUUUGUUGCAACCCAUCCAUUCUUUCUCUACCAAUACUCUUUAAGAUUUUGUGUAUCGUUCUUGUAUUUUGGCCGUUGCAAAGAUUUAUUCUUACAAAUAAAGAUCAAGCAUGGUCAUGCUUUGAUCUAGGGGUGUUACGAAACCCAACGGACCGAACUGAAAUCAGACCGAACCGACCGAUUAUGUGUUUUUAUAUAUUUUUAUAUAUUUCAGAUUAAUCUUGACCAUUCAUUUUAAUCUUGACCGUCCAUUGAAAACCCUAAAUCUCCUCUAUCUCCAACUCUCAUCUCAUCUAAUCUCAGAGAUCAGGCAGCCCAGCUCCUCUCCCCCCUCUCUGGCUCCUCUUUCCCCUUCUCUCCCAGUCACUCAUGGCCCCUCUCUUCGCCAGAUCGCAAUUCGCACCUCCCUCCUCCUCAGCUCCUCUCUUCUCCGCUGACCAUAUCAUCGUUUUGGCUGAGGUCAAUGUGUUAAUCGGAAAGAGGACAUGGGGACAAACAACAAUGUGAUAUUAAUUGUCGAUUUUUUAGAAGACUUGCUGUUUUAAUUUGGAGACUUGUUUAAUUUGGAUAUUUAUAGAAGAUGUGUUCUCGUGGAGUUCUUGCAUGGUUCAACAGGUGAACUAAACUAAUUUGGAAUGUUGGAUAUUAUACUUUUAUAGAGUUUCUGCUUUUUGGUGAAGAGAGUAACUGGGAAAAUGGUGUGGUGAAAUUUUUGGUAUUUUGGUUUGUUAAGUUUUGAGAAUUAGCUCUCUGGUUCUUAUUGUUGAACUUGAAAUUAACUCACCAGAAAAAAUAUGACUCUUGUUCAAUGGGCAUUCUUAGUAUUUGAAUUGGUGUUGGAUGAUGGAUUAUGGGCCUUGAUGAUGGAUCUUGAGUGAAAAAUGACUUUUGAAUUGGUGUUUGGUAGAAAAAACGGGUGGAUUUUCUUACAAUUAAUUAAUUUGGUCCACUUUCAAUUUUUUUUUGGGCCCAACUAGGCCCAAUUCGGUCAGACCGAAUUCCCCGACCGGACCGACUCCAUACCGAACCGAAGUGGACUGAUUGUAAUUUCGGUCGGGAUCGGUCCUAGCAAUAUUAUCCCCGAACCGAUUUGGUCUUGGUAAUAGUUGGACUGAACCGAACGAACCCGAACCGAAAUCACCUCUACUUUGAUCCUAUGGGUGUGGUCCGUGUGGAUAUUGUUUUAGAGAUAUGAUACAUCAAUUUCUGAAGAACAGCCCCUGCA